CUGAAGCCUGAGGAGUUCAAGGUCAUAUGACAGGGCUGUUACCUCAAGAAGAAGGUCCCAUCUGUUUCCUGGAAUGUGUCUACACUGCUGCUCUCGUCAACUGGCUGCAAAUACGCUCGUGGAAAACAACCUGAUGUAAUUUCUGCCCAGUCAGCUUCAUCUCUCAGUAUAGUUGUAAAUCACCCCAGAUUCUACAGCCGCACCUGAAGACAUGCUCUCACACAUAGAUGUACACAAACACACCCUCAUACCCAUUUCAGCUGGCAUCUGUCAUGAUUCCUGUCAAGAGGGCUUUCGUUGUCUGACUCAUAAUUGUUUAGGAUAAACGAUCAAGAGAAAGGAUUAACUAGACAGUGAUGGGUUUUCAGCACUUGCUGUUGUGGAAAUCUCCUUUAAAGUCUUGAGUACAUGCUAAUCAAUAAUCCUCACUCAUGCAUUUCUACUGCUUGGAGUAGCUGUACUGGUAAAUACUACUGUAGGAGUAUAUGCUUGUUAAAAUGGAAAAAAAAAUGUGUCUUUAGAACUCAGUAUUCUUUAUUUUAUGAACACAACACGUGUAGUAACUUUUUCCCAGCAUAUAGUAGGCACAUUCAAGGUGAUUCAAGAUGGCUCUUUUUUCUGUGGAGGGAGCCUGUUCUCAGUAAAGAUGAGCAAACAUUUGGAAUUUACAUGUGGGCAGACACUGGAUUACAGCUUUCAUCACCAAUCAUUGGACUUUUGCAAAGUCGAGACCAGCUAAGGCUGCUUAAAACAAGUUCUGAUCAUUAUAUAAGAAGGAAAAUGCCUGACAGACACCAUGCUUCCUCUGUCCACUGGAGUCUGCUUUGCAGCAGGUCAGAUGUGCCCAGGAAAUAACGCUCUGCAGGAGCACAGGGACAGGCUUCCAACAAUCACUGGAGCAGCCGAUCCUCAGGUGGGAUAAUUUUGAUGUUGGUGCUGUACACUGCUACACCAAAUCCCGCAGUAGUAAUUUCAUGGAGCACACUUUAAAUUUCUUCCCUUCUCUGUCUCACUUCUUCACUCCAUUAUUGAUUCCUCCUAUAAUCACCUCCAGUAUAAACUACUUUGAUUCUAAUCUUUGUCUCAGAAGAUGCUUCUGGGAAAUCCAUAUUAAGGAAAAAGUAGAUUUCACAACUUCUGUUUGAUUGUGAUAUUUGCUCUUGAUGGUAAAUGUAAAAUAAUCUUUCUAUGAAUGUAGAUUUUGAAAUUGUGUUGAGGUUUAAAGUGCAAUCAUUUUAUGUGUAUAGUUCAACAGGUUUAUAUAUAACUGUAACCGCCACCAUUGCAAUCAAGAUAAAGAACAUCUCCAUCACCCUAAAAAAUUCCUUCAGACCUAUUUGCAGUCAAUUCUCCACCAAGCUCAGUCUACCCUCAAUAUAGAUUUGGUUUUCCUCUAGAAUUUCACAUAGAAGAAAUCUUUUUUUUUUUUUUGUCUGGCUUCCUUUGCUCUGCAUUGUAUUUUUGAGAUUUAUUUUUUACUGUGCUCUAUGAAUCAGUAGUUUUUAAUUGCCAAGUAAUAAUCCCAUUGCAAAGAAGCACUACAUUUUGUUUAUCGCUUCACACUUGGGUUGGUUCCAGUUUUUGGCUAUUAUAAAAAAAAGUGCUUUGAACACUUGUGCACAAGCCUUCAUGUGGACCUGUUUUCACUGCUGUUGGUAAAUACCUGAGUGGAAUUGCUAGGUUGGAUGAUAAAGUUACGACUACCUUUAAGAAAAAAAUCAAACAUGUUACAAAAGUAGCUUUAUAUAUUUUACACAUCCACCAAAAGUCUGUGAGAAUUAAAGUUAGAAUACUCAACACUAAGUAUUGUCAGUCUUAAUCUUAGCAACUCUAGUGGGUAUGUAAUAGUAUCUUG
rnacentral:lncRNA from 1 species